GACUCCAUAGUGUAGUGGUUAGCAUGUCUGCUUUACACACAGAAGGUCCUGCGCCCCAGGUGGAGCCA
rnacentral:tRNA from 1 species